rnacentral:rRNA from 1 species
AUGGCCGAGCGCUUCCCAGGCGAUGGCGCGGCGGCGAACGGCUUCGGCCGCCGCCAUCUUCAUGAAGACGAGGCUCGCCUCCUUUACGAGGCCGAGUACCCGGUCCCGCCGGACAUGCGGGUGCCCGGGGCGUGGAGGAUCAGCGCUGGCGGCGUGCCGGUGCCCUCGGUACCGACCGGCGCGGCGCGGCAUGCGGAGAUCGCACGCAUCCGCUCGAACCUGCCGCGUGCGGCGAGGGAGGGGCCACGGUACGCCCCCGACAGCCCGCUCUGGGAACCUUACUUCCGCCGCCGUCAGGCCGAGCAGCUCGAGGCCACCAACGGCGUCGUGCCCUCCGGCAGGCUCAACGCCGCCGGCCGGCGUCUGUGGUGGGGCGUGCCCGUGCGCACGUUGGAGGCCGUCCUCGAGUACAUCGAGGGCGGCAACAUGCUGCGCCUCGAGUACCCCGCUCCCCCUUCCUUCUCACGCCGCCGGGGAAGCUCCUGGACCCCGAGGCGCAUGGAGACCGGGGGGUCCUCCUCCUCGUCCGGCGGCUCGCCCUGCCUCCGCCCCGUCAAGCCGGAGCCCCAGGACAUGCCGGUCAGCGCGUGCACCCGCAGCUCCGGCGGCGCCAACGCCUCUCCACCCACCGGCCGCUUCGUCCUCGCCGAGCCCAAGCCGGAGCCCGUGCUCCCCACGGAGUACGAGGAGAUAGCCCGGCGCGGCUUCUCCGACGAGGACGCCAUGCGGUGGGCGCGGGACGACUACCUCCGCGACGAGAUGGUCCGGCAGCGCCGGGCCCUGGAGGAGAUCGCCGCCCGCAAGCGUGGGCGCGAGGACGAGCACGGCGUCGUGGUCCUCGACAGCGACGACGCCCCCCCCGGACCGUCCAACCCGCCGCGCCAACCGGGGGAGGGAUGCAGCGGGGACGGCGGAGGCGGCGACGACGACGAUGAUGACGAUGACGGCGGUGACUACACGCGGUUCUACCGCCUCCUCGGCAUGUAG